rnacentral:lncRNA from 1 species
CAAGUCCGAGAAGCUAGAAUUGAUUUUCUAACACAUGAAUAUGAAAUCUUUAUAAUGGAGAAGGAAUCCAUCGGUCAUAUGUUCGAACGAUUCUCAAAAAUCUUCAACGACCUUCAUGCUCUCGGGGAAGUGUACACGAACAAAGAUCUUGUUCGAAAAAUCCUACGGAGCCUCACUCCCGAAUGGCGUUCCAAAGCCGAUGCCAUCCAA